GACGAACGCUGGCGGCGUGCCUAACACAUGCAAGUCGAACGGGGCAAUUCCUUCGGGGAUUGCUUAGUGGCGAACGGGUGAGUAACGCGUGAGAAACCUGCCUUUCAGUGGGGGACAACAGUUGGAAACGACUGCUAAUACCGCAUAAUGUCAUUUGGGGGCAUCCCUGAAUGACCAAAGAUUUAUUGCUGAAAGAUGGUCUCGCGUCUGAUUAGCUAGUUGGUGAGGUAACGGCUCACCAAGGCGACGAUCAGUAGCCGGUCUGAGAGGAUGAACGGCCACAUUGGGACUGAGAUACGGCCCAG
rnacentral:rRNA from 1 species